GACGAACGCUGGCGGCGUGCUUAACACAUGCAAGUCGAACGAUGAAGCCGGAGCUUGCUCUGGUGAAUUAGUGGCGAACGGGUGAGUAACACGUGAGUAACCUGCCCCGAACUCUGGGAUAACUGCUGGAAACGGUAGCUAAUACUGGAUACGACCUACGAAGGCAUCUUCUGUAGGUGGAAAGAAUUUCGGUUCGGGAUGGACUCGCGGCCUAUCAGCUUGUUGGUGAGGUAAUGGCUCACCAAGGCGACGACGGGUAGCCGGCCUGAGAGGGUGACCGGCCACACUGGGACUGAGACACGGCCCAGACUCCUACGGGAGGCAGCAGUGGGGAAUAUUGCACAAUGGGCGCAAGCCUGAUGCAGCAACGCCGCGUGAGGGAUGACGGCCUUCGGGUUGUAAACCUCUUUUAGUAGGGAAGAAGCGAAAGUGACGGUACCUGCAGAAAAAGCACCGGCUAACUACGUGCCAGCAGCCGCCGUAA
rnacentral:rRNA from 1 species